AUGUCCCUGGCAGCAGGCAUGAACGAAAGAAAAUGGCUGUGCACAGAGGGAGAAUUGAUCACUGUCUGUUCUUCAAAGACGCUUCCCUGGCAGUGGUUGGGGCUGUUAGCGCUCACUGCCCUAACAGAGACCUGCUUCAACAGGGUACGAAGAUCCAUCAUUUGGCCCAGCUGUAUUAUGGGAUCAUCUGACUUCAUGGUGUCAUUGAAAGGCUUACGUGUGCUAGUGGAUGAAAAUAUUUCAACGAUGUUGCAUUGCUGCUGCUGCCACCACUGCUGUUACUACACUACACUUGCUACGAGUUGUUCCUUGGGUAGGACCAGAGUGAUCAUUGAUCAGAAACUCAUCCUCACAGUCUGGGGUUUGCUCCUGUUGCUGGUAUUCACAGUUUUCCCCUUUCAACUUUACCUCAGCUAACCCCUUACCUACAUUAACAGGAGAAGCUGGUAGAAGACUUCAUGAAGGAGAAGAAAAGGAAAAAAAUCAAAGGAUGACUACAGCCUCUCUUCAUCUCAGCUUUGCAAAGCAUGACUCAACAGAGAGAUCACAUUCUUGAAGACUCUCCAGACCACAG
rnacentral:lncRNA from 1 species